rnacentral:rRNA from 1 species
AGUCGAACGGCAGCACGGGAGCAAUCCUGGUGGCGAGUGGCGAACGGGUGAGUAAUACAUCGGAACGUGCCCAGUAGUGGGGGAUAGCCCGGCGAAAGCCGGAUUAAUACCGCAUACGACCUACGGGUGAAAGCGGGGGAUCGAAAGACCUCGCGCCAUUGGAGCGGCCGAUGUCGGAUUAGCUAGUUGGUGGGGUAAAAGCCUACCAAGGCUACGAUCCGUAGCUGGUCUGAGAGGACGACCAGCCACACUGGGACUGAGACACGGCCCAGACUCCUACGGGAGGCAGCAGUGGGGAAUUUUGGACAAUGGGCGCAAGCCUGAUCCAGCCAUGCCGCGUGCGGGAAGAAGGCCUUCGGGUUGUAAACCGCUUUUGUCAGGGAAGAAACGGUCUGGGCCAAUACCCCGGACUAAUGACGGUACCUGAAGAAUAAGCACCGGCUAACUACGUGCCAGCAGCCGCGGUAAUACGUAGGGUGCAAGCGUUAAUCGGAAUUACUGGGCGUAAAGCGUGCGCAGGCGGCUUUGCAAGACAGAUGUGAAAUCCCCGGGCUCAACCUGGGAACUGCAUUUGUGACUGCAAGGCUGGAGUGCGGCAGAGGGGGAUGGAAUUCCGCGUGUAGCAGUGAAAUGCGUAGAUAUGCGGAGGAACACCGAUGGCGAAGGCAAUCCCCUGGGCCUGCACUGACGCUCAUGCACGAAAGCGUGGGGAGCAAACAGGAUUAGAUA